CUGGAGGACUUGCUCACUUCACAGCUGCUAUAGGACUGAGAUAUUAAGCUGAAUUUCAAAGAGACUGUGAUACUUGGUGUGAAAAGCAGGAAAUAUUUCUUUUUGUCUUGUGUCUGUAAUUUUACAGGUCAGAAGCUGCAGCCUCAGCAGGCACCGAACUGCUCAAGAUGUUGAAUAAACUCCUGCAAUAUGUCCGUAGUGGAAAAAUCGGCACCACUGGCACAGGGAUCGGGAUUUUGUUUGCAUUUUACUGUCUGCGGGAAAAGAUGUGCGCUUGCUCAGGCCACACUUUUGAUUGCAAUGAAAUGGUGGUCGUGCCUGUUUUUUUAGUAUUUUUCCUGGUGCUCCUGAUAGACCAGACAUUUCGGAGCACAGCGGAGCAUCCAUCCACGCUUUUAUGCAUUGUACUAAAGCGCGUUAUCAGAGCGUUUCUAAUCAGUCUGCUGUGGAUUGUAGCUGUGUUGCUUUUUACAAACUGGUAUAGUUGCUGUACCACUGAUGAAAAAAAGAGGAAGCUGUUCUGUAAAUCUUGGCCCAACACAGCUACAACUAAUGAAACAGCUCAAAUGACUUGAGCUGAAAAUGAGGUCAAAGCUUGCUGCUUACUCUCUGCUCCUCAGCAUGACUGUUGUUGCUUUCUUCAUGACUUGGAGUGGGUGGAGAAAAUGGUUUAUAAAAAAAUUCAGUUGUUGCAACAAGAAAACUUUUUACUACAAACUGAUUUUGGAAGAAUAGAAAAAAGUUCUGGAGGAGCUUUUGAGGAAAGAAGCAAAUGAGACUCUGACUAAAGAAAUCACGAGCAACAUAAAAAGGAAAGACUGGGACGGCUGUUUAAAUGUUGCUCAACAAAUGAUCAGUAAUGCAAAACAUCAAAAACCAGAAGCAACCAACCAGCAGAUCAACUGGAUCAGUGAGGGGAGCUCCAGCAGAGGGGGACAGCAUCAUCAAGCAGCAGCACAUCAGCAGACAUCAGAGACACCGAACCGUUAUUUGAUGAAUACUUCUGAAAGAAGAUGAAGAGGUGCAGCUACAAAAUCAAUACAAAUGACCACUGACAAAUCCUGCCCAUCCAGCAGUCUGCUUUCUGAUGCUUACCUCGGUUCAGGUGUUGGGUGCAGCAGUCUGAUCAGAGACAGCCCGACCUCAUUUUCCUUUGUAGCUUCCUGCACCUCCCCCAGCUCCUCUGGAGUCCCACUGAGACGUUUACAAGUCUGCACGACACCCAGUCUCUCUGUAUGCAAUUUUUGUCAGACUAUGUAAAGUGUCCAUUCUGUGUUUUUGCUGUUUGGAAUGAUAAAUCUAAAGAAAUGUUUCCAUGUUUGUAUUAUGCUUUAUUUUUUUAUGUAGCCUAUUGAUAAUUCAGCUUUUACAUUAAUACACUUGCAAAUGGAGUGGUGUAAUGGAGUAAAUAACAUUCAUCAAAAUAAAGUGCUCUGUAAAAAACAAAACAAAUACCCUGUGAUAUUUUGUGGACUACCUUAUGCUUUAAUAGCAGCACAUGUUCCCUGUGACACUGUAUUGAAGCUUGUGCUGUGUCAUUUUUCACAGAGAUCUUAUCCUGAUGAUGGGAAAACUGGACCACUACAUGAAGUGUUCUCAAGCACAUCCUAAAGAUUCUCAGUGAGGAACAGGCGUAGACUCUGUGGUUGCCAUACAUGAUUUCAAGCUAUCUUAAUCACUGUACAUCAGGAAUACAAAAUAAAAUAAUGUGGUUCUGUAUAUUCAAGUAUUCACCUCAGCUAAUUUUUUGGGCACCUAACAUUGUUGAACCUCGAUCUCCAAUCCAAUCAGAAGACUCUUACCUCUUACCUGUUUUUAUGUGAUAGUGUUAAAAUAGUAUUUAGUGUUUUCUAGCUGGUUUUUUUUUUUCUUACUGCACAGUAAGAAGAAAGUCUACUACUUGUUUUUCUCUGCAUUUCAUUCACUCAGUGAAACAAUGGGCAGCCACUAAGCAGGCGCCUGGGGAGCAGUGUGUAGGGACGGUACCUUGCUCAAGGGUACCUCAGGGUAGCUGUUCAGUUGAUUCAAACCCC
ensembl:lncRNA